rnacentral:rRNA from 1 species
UACAGAGGGAGCUAGCGUUGUUCGGAAUUACUGGGCGUAAAGCGCACGUAGGCGGCUAUUCAAGUCAGAGGUGAAAGCCUGGAGCUCAACUCCAGAACUGCCUUUGAAACUAGAUAGCUUGAAUCCAGGAGAGGUGAGUGGAAUUCCGAGUGUAGAGGUGAAAUUCGUAGAUAUUCGGAAGAACACCAGUGGCGAAGGCGGCUCACUGGACUGGUAUUGACGCUGAGGUGCGAAAGCGUGGGGAGCAAACAGG